rnacentral:rRNA from 1 species
AUACGGAGGAUCCGAGCGUUAUCCGGAUUUAUUGGGUUUAAAGGGUGCGCAGGCGGCCAUUUAAGUCAGCGGUUAAAUCGUGGGGCUCAACCCCAUUCUGCCGUUGAUACUGGGUGGCUUGAUUGCGGUCGAGGUUGGCGGAAUUCGUUGUGUAGCGGUGAAAUGCAUAGAUAUGACGAAGAACACCGAUUGCGUAGGCAGCUGACCAGACCGCAAAUGACGCUCAUGCACGAAAGUGCGGGGAGCGAACAGGAUUAGAUACCCUGGUAGUCCGCACAGUAAACGAUGAAUACUUGUUUUCGGCGAUAUAAUGUCGGAGGCAAAGCGAAAGCGAUAAGUAUUCCACCUGGGGAGUACGCCGGCAACGGUGAAACUCAAAGGAAUUGACGGGG